rnacentral:rRNA from 1 species
GGAGUUUGGACCGUGUCUCAGUUCCAAUGUGGGGGACCUUCCUCUCAGAACCCCUACCGAUCGAGGGCUUGGUGGGCCGUUACUCCGCCAACUACCUAAUCGGACGCAUCCCCAUCCAUGGCCGGUAAACCUUUUGUCCUCGUUAGAUGUCUGCAAAGGACGCCAUAGGGCAUUAAUCCGCUUUUCAACGGGCUAUUCCCUAGCCAUGGGCAGGUUGGAUACGCGUUACUCACCCGUGCGCCGGUCGCCGCCAGAGUAUUGCUACCCCGCGAUGCCCCUCGACUUGCAUGUGUUAAGCCUGCCGCUAGCGUUCAUC